rnacentral:rRNA from 1 species
CGAGUGGCGGACGGGUGAGUAAUGUCUGGGAAACUGCCCGAUGAGGGGGAGUAACUACUGGAAACGGUAGCUAAUACCGCAUAACGUCGCAAGACCAAAGAGGGGGACCUUCGGGCCUCUUGCCAUCGGAUGUGCCCAGAUGGGAUUAGCUAGUAGGUGGGGUAACGGCUCACCUAGGCGACGAUCCCUAGCUGGUCUGAGAGGAUGACCAGCCACACUGGAACCGAGACACGGUCCAG